CGCACCCAUGCACCCAUUUUGACUGGUUGGUGAGCGUGGGAUUUGUAGCAAGCGUGAUAAGCUUUGUAUACCUUUUGUUUCCUCUCACUUCUCCAACAUUGUAUAAUGAUAGAACCAACGAUUGUAAAUUCUUGCACACAUACUGUGAUUGGACUUAGAGACUAUGAAUUUACUUAUCGGCCAUCACUAAAUGUGACUACAGGGUUGUAUCCUUUAACCAUAUUCAACAUUCAAGAUAGUUUUCAACUUUUAGAGUUUUGUCCAGGAUGGUUCUUUUCACUUGCCAUGCAGGUCAGGCGAUGAUGACCCUAGCCUCUGAAAAUUUAUCGGGCGAUAUACAGAGAGAUGAAAGGGGAGAACUGGAGUAGACGACUUUCCACUAAUAGUGUUUCCUGGUUGUGAAGUAGGUAAUGGUCUUCUCUACACCCUAAAUUAUACAGGUUAGCGUUUUUCAUGUUCAAUAUUGCUGCAUAUGACAUGUUUCCUAAUGUGUGGUUUUUACGAUUCACACAAGAAAGCAAGCAGGUAGCGGCUAUUGUACUGGCGUUGGUUCAGUUUAAUACGAUGGCCUGUAGGGUUUAAUUUUCUUGGUUUACAAAUAUGCUUCUUCAAAGGUGUUGCGUAUUUGUGAAACCUUCUUUGAAGACGACGAGUUCGGUGGAGAACGAAAAGUUAGUUAUGGUAACUCAUCGGACCGGUUCAAAGCCGCCGGAUGGGUUGUGUCGGCUCUCUACGAAUCGAAUUCAGGCGAACAACACUGCCUUUGAUGAACUCUUAAACCACAGCGUUCUUGAUAGUUAGUGACCAAAUGGUAGCCCUAGAAACCGAUAGCACCAGAUCUAAGUUUUCAGCCGCUUCAGCCUAGUAUGCAACUUGGAUUUUUUUCUUCUUCUCAUGAGAACUGGUUCACAUUGGUGAUGCAGGUCAAAACAGGAGAUAAUGGAGUACUUUAAGAGCAGCUCAAUCAGAAGGAAAGACCUGAUUAAUGAAUGUGAAGGACUACAGGAAACGAUUAACUCUUUGAAACAACAACUUUCUGAUGCACGUCCUGAAUUUGAUGCAGAGAAAGAUGCAAAAAAAAUGUUACUUCGUCAAUCUCAUGUUGAUUACAUACUACCAUUUGCAUAUACAUGUUUAAAGGUGGUAAACUAAAUGGAUAAUAAAAGAGUACGGGUUAAAAAUUUGUUACUCAUUUGGACAAAACUGGACCUGAGUGGGUCCAUAAAGUUAAGAAUUAUAAAACCAAAUUCGGUUAGGCACAUAUAGUUACAGGUUAGAGCAUGUAGACCACUGAGCACCACAACCAAAA